UAUAAAUUCAUUUUUGCAGCAUUUGUUUUAUAACGAGUUAUUCACCGACGCUGCGAAUGAAUUAGAGAGAUCCGCCAUUAAAACUACGACGGAAAUUGAGAGUUUCGUAGCUCUCGCUGAGCGUGCGGCGGUAAUCGCAAGAGACAAUCGCGCGCGUGGCGACGCUCCUGAGGAAUUUCGGGAUCCAUUGAUGGACACUCUUAUGGAGGAUCCAGUCAAGCUACCGUCUGGUAUUGUUGUGGACAAAGCAGUUAUCAUUAGACAUUUACUCAACAGUGCCACGGAUCCUUUUAAUUGGCAGCCGCUUAGCGAAGAUAUGCUUGUGCCAAUGCCCGAUUUGAAAGAAAGGAUAUCAAUAUGGAAACAACAAAAGUUACAGUGCUAAGGUGACAAGAAUUAUGCACA